rnacentral:rRNA from 1 species
AUCAGCAUGCCGCGGUGAAUACGUUCCCGGGCCUUGUACACACCGCCCGUCACACCAUGGGAGCCGGUAAUACCCGAAGUCAGUAGUCCAACCUCGUGAGGACGCUGCCGAAGGUAGGAUUGGCGACUGGGGUGAAGUCGUAACAAGGUAGC